GGAGAGAUAGCAUAAUAGUUAUGCAAAAAGUCUUUCACGCUUGAGGCAACAAAGGUGCCAGGUUCAAUUCCUGGUACCACCA
rnacentral:tRNA from 1 species